UGCGGUUAAAAAGCUCGUAGUUGGAUUUCUGUUGAGGGCGACCGGUGUACACCUCGUGUAUUAUUUGGUUCGGUCUCGGCAUCCUCUUGGGGAACGUUUCUGGACUUUAUUGGACAGGGCGAGAUUCAAGACUUUUACUUUGAGGAAAUUAGAGUGUUCACGGCAGGCAAGCGCUUUGAAUACAUUAGCAUGGAAUAAUAAUAUAGGACCUUCGUUCUACUUUGUUGGUUUCUAGAACUUAGGUAAUGAUUAAUAGGGACAAUUGGGGGCAUUCGUAUUAACGCGUCAGAGGUGGAAUUCUUGGAUUGCGUUACGACGAACUACUGCGAAAGCAUUUGCCAAAGAUGUUUUCAUUGAUCAAGAACGAAAGUAUGGGGAUCGAAGACGCUUAGAUACCGUCGUAGUCUAUACCAUAAACUAUGCCAACUAGAGAUUGGUGGGGUUCUCCUAUUUGGCUCCAUCAGCAUCUUAUGAGAAAUCAAAGUCUUUGGGUUCCGGGGGGAGUAUGGUCGCAAGGCUGAAACUUAAAGGAAUUGACGGAAGGGCACCACCAGGAGUGGAGCCUGCGGCUUAAUUUGACUCAGCACGGGAAAACUUACCAGGUCCAGACAUAGUAAGGAUUGACAGAUUGAUAGCUC
rnacentral:rRNA from 1 species